AUGAAUUUCUUGUUUGAAAUGUUGAGUUUUAAAACCCAAGUCUUAUGGUCUAUACUUUGUUAUGGAGAGAAACCAAACCAGAUGAUGGUUGCGACUAAUCGUACAUUCCUACUAUAUUUGCGACAAGAGCAUGUUGGUGCUAUAUACUCUCUGUUUCUCUUGUUUCAUCAAUGUUUUGAGCACCAGUCCCUUCUGACUGGUUCGCGUAAGUGUUUUGAGCACCAGUCUUUUUUUCUGGGUAGAGGGAGAGAGCGGGAGGGAGAGAUGUUAGACGUGAUUAUUAUUGUGCGACUAAAAUAUGUUGUUGCUGCUGUUGUGUAG
rnacentral:rRNA from 1 species